AUUAAUGUUAUCCUUUGGUAACCCCAUUUGAGCAUGUAUCCAUUGUUUGUUUAACCCCGUAAAUGUACCCCGCGGCCAAAACACUUCCUUACCCUGUUCGGAGUCAAGUUGAUAUUAUUAAGUUGUGUUGAAAUUCUAAGUUUGGGGUAAAACCCCAUAAGUUUCAAAAGCCAAGGUGAGUGCGAAAAAAAAAGAGAAUCAUCGAGAAAAAAAAAAGAGAAAAG
rnacentral:lncRNA from 1 species